rnacentral:rRNA from 1 species
AACGAACGCUGGCGGCAGGCCUAACACAUGCAAGUCGAGCGAGGACUUCGGUCCUAGCGGCGGACGGGUGAGUAACGCGUGGGAACGUGCCCUUUGCUUCGGAAUAGCCCUGGGAAACUGGGAGUAAUACCGGAUGAGCCCUUUGGGGGAAAGAUUUAUCGGCGAAGGAUCGGCCCGCGUUGGAUUAGGUAGUUGGUGGGGUAAUGGCCUACCAAGCCGACGAUCCAUAGCUGGUUUGAGAGGAUGAGCAGCCACACUGGGACUGAGACACGGCCCAGACUCCUACGGGAUGGAGGAGUGGGGAAUCUUGGAAAAUGGGGGAAACGAUGAUCGAGCCAUGCUUCGUGAGCGAUGAAGGCCUUAGGGUUGUAAAGCUCUUUCAGCUGGGAAGAUAAUGACGGUACCAGCAGAAGAAGCCCCGGCUAACUCCGUG